rnacentral:rRNA from 1 species
UACGGGUGAGGCAAGCGUUGUUCGGAAUCAUUGGGCUUAAAGCGCGUGUAGGCGGCGGCGUAAGUACUUUGUGAAAUCCCACGGCUCAACCGUGGAAGUGCACUCGAAACUGCAGGGCUAGAGUCCUGGAGAGGAAGGUGGAAUGCUUGGUGUAGAGGUGAAAUUCGUAGAUAUCAAGCGGAACACCGGUGGCGAAGGCGGCCUUCUGGACAGUGACUGACGCUGAGACGCGAAAGCGUGGGGAGCAAACAGG